rnacentral:rRNA from 1 species
CAGUCGCCACGGUAAUACGAAGGUGGCAAGCGUUGUCCGGAAUUAUUGGGCGUAAAGGGCUCGCAGGCGGUUUCUUAAGUCUGAUGUGAAAGCCCCCGGCUCAACCGGGGAGGGUCAUUGGAAACUGGGAAACUUGAGUGCAGAAGAGGAGAGUGGAAUUCCACGUGUAGCGGUGAAAUGCGUAGAGAUGUGGAGGAACACCAGUGGCGAAGGCGACUCUCUGGUCUGUAACUGACGCUGAGGAGCGAAAGCGUGGGGAGCGAACAGGAUUAGAUACCCGUGUAGUCCCUGUCUCUUAUAC